GCGGUUUCUUAAGUCUGAUGUGAAAGCCCCUCCGGCUCAAACCGAGGAAGUGUCAUUGGAAACUGGGGAGGACUUGAGUGCAGAAGAGGACAAGUGGAACUCUCAUGUGUAGCGGUGAAAUGCGUAGAUAUAUGGAAGAACCACCAGUGGCGAAGGCGGCUGUCUGGUCUGUAACUGACGCUGAGGCUUGAAAGUAUGGGGAGCAAACAGGAUUAGAUUACCUGGUAGUCCAUACCGUUAACGAUGAAUGCUUAGUGUUGGAGGGUUUCCGCCCUUCAGUGCUGCAGCUAACGCCUUAAGCAUUCCGCCUGGGGAGUACGGCCGCAAGGGUGAAACUCAAAGGAAUUGACGGGGGCCCGCACAAGCGGUGGAGCAUGUGGUUUAAUUUGAAGCAACGCGAAGAACCUUACCAGGUCUUGACAUCCUUUGAACAUCUUAGAGAUUAGGCUUUCCCUUUGGGGACAAAGAUACAGGUGGUGCAUGGUUGUUGUCAGCUUGUGUCGUGAGAUGUUGGGUUAAGUCCCGCAACGAGCGCAACCCUUAUUUUUAGUUGCCAUCAUUAAGUUGGGCACUUUAGCGAGACUGCCGGUGACAAACCGGAGGAAGGUGGGGAUGACGUCAAAUCAUCAUGCCCCUUAUGACCUGGGCUACACACGUGGUACAAUGGGAGGUACAAAGAGUUGCGAAGUCGCGAGGGUAAGCUAAUUUUUUAAAACCUUUUUCAGUUUGGAUUGUAGGGUGCAACUUGCCUACAUGAAGUCGGAAUCGCUAGUAAUCGCGGAUCAGCAUGCCGCGGUGAAUACGUUCCCGGGCCUUGUACACCCCGCCCGUCACACCCUGAGAGUUUGUAACCCCCGAAGUCGGUGGGGUAACCUUUUUGGAGCCAGCCGCCUAAGGUGGACAGAUGAUGGGGG
rnacentral:rRNA from 2 species